UUUUUACUACCAACUGAUAAAUUAAAAUAAUCUUUACCAUUCAGUGAUAACAAGCAGUUUUUUUACAUCUUAAUAUUUUAUGAUGUAUUUAAAUGAGUAGUUAUUGUUGCAAACUCCAUUAGAAAUUUUAAUUGAGAUUAGUUUUGGAAUAAGGGAAAGGGGAAUGUGAUUAAAAAAAUUGGGUUCAAUUUUUCUCAUUUGAAAUUUCAUAAAUAAAAAAGAAAACUUCUUCAAACAUUUUUUUGAGAGGAUUAAUAUUCAACAGCAUAGUGAAUUGCUCUAAGAGAAAACAAAAAUUUUAAGUUCAUUAGAACACAUUCAUUCUGUGUCAGAAACCUAUGCUGUGUCAACUAUUUAAUCACAAUCCAAAUUUAGAGCUGAAUCCAGCUUGAAUGUUGUGUCCAUACUUGCCCCAACUGUUCAGGGUUCAACCUCUGCGGUCGUAUAAAGCUACGCCCUGCGGAGCAUCUGGUUUGCUAUUAUCUU
rnacentral:lncRNA from 1 species